rnacentral:rRNA from 1 species
AUUGAACGCUGGCGGCAUGCUUUACACAUGCAAGUCGAACGGCAGCGCGGGCUUCGGCCUGGCGGCGAGUGGCGAACGGGCGAGUAAUGCAUCGGAACGUGCCCAGCAGUGGGGGAUAGCCCGGCGAAAGCCGGAUUAAUACCGCAUACGACCUGAGGGUGAAAGCGGGGGACCGAAAGGCCUCGCGCUAUUGGAGCGGCCGAUGUCGGAUUAGCUAGUUGGUGGGGUAAAGGCUUACCAAGGCGACGAUCCGUAGCUGGUCUGAGAGGACGACCAGCCACACUGGGACUGAGACACGGCCCAGACUCCUACGGGAGGCAGCAGUGGGGAAUUUUGGACAAUGGGGGCAACCCUGAUCCAGCCAUGCCGCGUGCGGGAAGAAGGCCUUCGGGUUGUAAACCGCUUUUGUUCGGGAAGAAAUCCUCUGGGCUAAUACCCCGGGGGGAUGACGGUACCGGAAGAAUAAGCACCGGCUAACUACGUG